UAUGCCCUAUAAUUACUUACCUUCAUUUCUCAAUCAAAAUAGUACAAUACAAAAAAUUUAAUUGAUCAAAAGUACAAAUCUAAAUUUUAAAAAAUUUAAAUAGCAGUGCAGAAGUCGGAGGAGAGUUCACUACAACAAAAAUGGUCUAUAGCGACACUUUUAAAUGUAGGUACAUAUCAAAAAAGUGCUGCUAGCUAAAAUUACCGACACUUUUAAAAAGUGUUGCUAUAUGUAGGGUCACUAGGUAUAUAGUGACAGUUAAAGAGUGUCGCUAUAACCUAAAAAAAUGCUGCUAAUUUACCAACACUUAUUUAAGAAUUUAGCAACUACCGAAACUCUAUCUCGUUAGCUGCGGUGGCGGAGGAGGACGACAGGAAUGGCUCUUCGUCUAGAAUUUCAGUAGAUUGAGUGAAGAGAGAAGAAAAUAUGGUAAUUGAUUUUUUUUUUUUCUUUUCUAUUUGUAAUCGAGCCAAAUGGACUGGGUGUGGUGGGUUGAGUAGAGAAAUCUUUUAUUUUUGGUUGGAUUGGGCUUUAUAUUUAGGCAAUAGUAGAUGUUUUUUUAAAUUUUAGCAUAAAUAGGACACUUACUCAAAAGUGUCCCAAACAUGUGUCCCUAUAAUCUAAUUCUGUUGUAGUGGUUAUACAUUAAUUAUUCUAUAUUUUUUAUCCAAAUCCUAUAUUAA
rnacentral:lncRNA from 1 species